rnacentral:misc_RNA from 1 species
GAACCAACAUCUCCUAUUAACAGCAACAACGGUCCACGACCCAGCUGCGAGCAGAGCCAACAUCUCUUGCUGCUUUUGAGUCCAUUUGCUUUAGUCUUUCAUUGAAAAUUUUUGAGAAUUGGUGUUAAAUUUCUUGAUUAGUUUAGUUCCCUUCUGGAAUAUUGAUGAUACUUGGGAUCGUAUUGUUUGGGUUUGAAUUUUUAGGUUAAAUAGGUUGUCUUCUUAGCGUCCCG